GCGUCUGUGGCUCAAUUGGAUAGAGCAGCGGAUUUCGGUUCCGCCGGUUGGGGUUCGAAUCCUCUCAGACGCG
rnacentral:tRNA from 1 species